UCAAUCCAUUCGGAAGCUGCAUUUUUAAUCUGCCGAGCCUAGAGUAUGUCAGAGGGGGGGUAGAAUUGCACGUGUAGCAGUGAAAUGCGUAGAUAUGUUGGAGGAAUACCGAUGGCGAAGGCAGCCCCCCCUGGGAUAAUACUGACGCUCAGACACGAAAGCGUGGGGAGCAAACAGGAUUAGAUACCCUGGUAGUCCACGCCCUAAACGAUGUCAACUAGCUGUUGGGGCCGUUAGGCCUUAGUAGCGCAGCUAACGCGUGAAGUUGACCGCCUGGGGAGUACGGUCGCAAGAUUAAAACUCAAAGGAAUUGACGGGGACCCGCA
rnacentral:rRNA from 1 species